GAUGAACGCUGGCUACAGGCUUAACACAUGCAAGUCGAGGGGAAACGGCAUUGAGUGCUUGCACUGAAUGGACGUCGACCGGCGCACGGGUGAGUAACGCGUAUCCAACCUUCCCGUUACUGCGGGAUAACCUGCCGAAAGGCAGACUAAUACCGCAUGUUCUUCGAUGACGGCAUCAGAUUCGAAGCAAAGACUCGUCGGUAACGGAGGGGGAUGCGUCUGAUUAGCUUGUUGGCGGGGUGACGGCCCACCAAGGCGACGAUCAGUAGGGGUUCUGAGAGGAAGGUCCCCCACAUUGGAACUGAGACACGGUCCAAACUCCUACGGGAGGCAGCAGUGAGGAAUAUUGGUCAAUGGGCGGAAGCCUGAACCAGCCAAGUAGCGUGCAGGACGACGGCCCUACGGGUUGUAAACUGCUUUUAUGCGGGGAUAAAGUGAGGGACGCGUCCCUUUUUGCAGGUAC
rnacentral:rRNA from 1 species